CGAUUAAAUGCUUACGAGCAGUAUCUCACGGUGAUUAACUUUUGAUCCGCAUCGAGUGUUGAUUACAGCGCAGCAAGCAUUGCUACAAAACGUUCAUAAGCGGGAUACAGCUCAAUUAUCGACAGCUUACUAUGGAUUUCUACAUAGGAUCGAUAUUUGCUUUUAUGCCCUACUUACAUCAUACGUUCAUAGUGGCACAGAACAGGCCGGUUAAAAUGAAAUGAUUUGAUGCAUGUCAAACACGAUAAAAAAGGCAUUAUUUCAGAUCCGUUUAAUUUUCUGAACUGCAAUUCAACCUGGUCUUCAACGUAACCAGUUUCUAUUUAACUUUUGUAGCCACUUGACCACGAAAACCUAUAAACGACAGAG
rnacentral:misc_RNA from 1 species